GAAGUAUCCCCUAUGAACAGAACAGUCACUCGGUCGAUAACGUAAGGGUUUGUCUUCUUCUGACUUCUGCGUUUGUUGGACAGCGACAGAAUUCCUUCCACACCACCACCUACUGUUUCAGCCCUGU